GGAGGCGUGGUGUAAUUGGAAACAUACCUGCCUGUCGAGCAGAAGAUUGCGGGUUCGAGUCCCGUCGCUUCCG
rnacentral:tRNA from 1 species